UAUGGUAUGUGCCAGCAGCCGCGGUAAUACGUAGGCGGCAAGCGUUGUCCGGAAUUAUUGGGCGUAAAGGGAGCGCAGGCGGGAAACUAAGCGGAUCUUAAAAGUGCGGGGCUCAACCCCGUGAUGGGGUCCGAACUGGUUUUCUUGAGUGCAGGAGAGGAAAGCGGAAUUCCCAGUGUAGCGGUGAAAUGCGUAGAUAUUGGGAAGAACACCAGUGGCGAAGGCGGCUUUCUGGACUGUAACUGACGCUGAGGCUCGAAAGCUAGGGUAGCGAACGGG
rnacentral:rRNA from 1 species